rnacentral:rRNA from 1 species
GGAGCGAACGCUGGCGGCAGGCCUAACACAUGCAAGUCGAGCGCGUGUAGCAAUACACGAGCGGCAGACGGGAGAGUAACACGUGGGAACGCGCCCUUCGGUUCGGAAUAACUCAGGGAAACUUGAGCUAAUACCGGAUACGCCCUUACGGGGAAAGAUUUAUUGCCGAAGGAACGGCCCGCGUCCGAUUAGCUAGUUGGUGAGGUAACGGCUCACCAAGGCGACGAUCGGUAGCUGGUCUGAGAGGAUGACCAGCCUCACUGGGACUGAGACACGGCCCAGACUCCUACGGGAGGCAGCAGUGGGGAAUAUUGGACAAUGGGCGCAAGCCUGAUCCAGCCAUGCCGCGUGGAUGAUGAAGGCCUUAGGGUUGUAAAGUCCUUUAACGGGGAGAUAAUGACGGUACCGUAGAAUAAGCCCCGGCUAACUUCGUGCCAGCAGCCGCGGU